GGGGAUGUAGCUUAUUGGUAGAGUGCUUGACUAACAUGUGCAAGGUCCUGGGUUCAAUCCCCAGCACUGCUA
rnacentral:tRNA from 1 species